CACCACAUUGGCCCAAGUCAUUCCUGGUCUACAACAACUUGGAUUUUGUCUCUUAGGAGCUAAAUUUGGGUCCAAAAAGGUUGGAGGGGACCUUGUGAGUUUCAAAAGACUGGAUAUCUUGGGUUCUUUUUGUCCAGAGCUGAAUGGAGAUGAGGAGAAUUUCUUCAUCAAAGGAGAUGGCAAGAGGAAGACCAAAGAUGGCUCAUGGUGACCACUUGGACGUGGAGACUUAGCUGACAGGGCAGCUGGCUCCUUCCACAGGAAUGCGGAGAGGAAGGGCAUCUCUUCAGUCACAGUCUCAGAGAUCCCAGGUCAUCUUCAAUGUUUCUGCUACAUAUGAAAAGAAAUCUUUUACGUUUUAAAAGUCUAAAGCAGGGGUUAUUUACCUCUGGGUAACCUGAUGAAGUCUACUGAUCUCUUCUCAGAACAAUAAAAUAAAAUAUAUAGAUUGACAGAUUAAAUUUAGUUAUCAAAACAUUUUCUAACCCAGUUGAUGGCCCCCAACAAGAAUCCCUGCCCUAGACUGAACCUGAGCCUAUCCCCUCUAACCUAGAUCAUUCCCACUAUUCUCCCUGAUUCAAGUUUCUCCCCAUUCCAUUCCAUCCUCGUAAGAAAGUGAUUUUUCUAAAGUGUAGGUCUAAACCAUGUCUCUUCUCAGUCCCCUGCACUCCCAUCAAUGAAUUGCCAUGGCUCCUUAUUUUCUCCAGGACCAAAAACUUGUCUGUUUAGCUUUGAAAGCUCUUCAUAACCUAGUUCCUUCUUACUUUUCCAGGCUUCUUACACUUUCUUCCCCUGUAUACACUCUACAAUCCAGGCAAAAUGAUCUUCUUUCUGUUUCUAUCCAUUAAUCAAUAAUCAAUACACUGCCAAAGAGAUAAAAAGGGGGGAAAGAAUCUACUUAUACAAAAAUAUUUAUAGCAGCUCUUUUUGUAGCAGCAAAGAACUGGAAACUGAGGAGAUGUCCAUCAGUUGUGAAAUGGCUAAACAAAUUGUAGCAUAUGUUGGUGAUGGAAUAUUAUUGUGCUAUAAAAAAUGAUGAGCAGGAUGAUUUCAGAAAAAGCUGAAAAGACCUGCAGAAACUGAUGCAGAGCAAAAUAAGCAGAACCAGGAGAACAGCAAUAUUGUACAAUUAUCAAAUGUGAAAACGUGGCUGCUCUCAGUCGUGCAAUGAUCUAGAACAACCCUGAAAGACUUAUGAUGAGGAAUGCUAUCUAUCUCCAGAGAAAAACUGUUGGAGUCCUUUUUCACAUCAGUGUAUUUAUGAUUUUAUUGGGGGGGGUUAAUUAUGUAAGAGUAUGUUCUGACAACAAUGACCAAUAUGGAAAUGUGUUUUGCAUAAUAAUAAAAAAAUUUUA